AAAGGAGCUUCAGUUGAGAAAAUGCCUCCAUGGGAUCCAGCUGUAAGGCAUUUUCUCAAUUAGUGAU
ensembl:miRNA Gm23992 predicted gene, 23992